rnacentral:piRNA from 1 species
UCAAACAUGUUUCCUGCUAGUGCACACUC